rnacentral:lncRNA from 1 species
UUAGGAGUGAUCCGGACCUUCGCCGCGCCCAGUAGUAGGGCGCGGCUGACCUGCCGCGAAGUUGUGGCCAGCUGGAGUGAGAGAAGCCAACAUCCUAAUUCGUUGCCUCUGGUGGAUGCUGAACGCGGCUGGGGUCACACAGAGAACUGAGGAAUCCAGGAGCAGGCAACAACUGCCAAGCUCGCCAGGAGUUCUAGGAAACAGCUCAAAGACCUCAUGAAAGUGGGACUUACAGCUUCCUUGAUCAGGCUCAGCAUUCAGAUAUCAAAGGCGACUCCAAUAACUGCGCGCAGACAGAGGACAGAAAGGUUUUGAGGCAACAGAUGAAUUGUGAAAGAGAGCAGCUGAGGGUAGGUGUGACCUGCUUGUAACAGGCUUUCUGCUUCCUAUUUCUGUCUAAUAAGCAAAGUUUCUCUUGUCUCUUUCAAGACCUGCAGUCUAAAGACCAGGCUUCCUCUCAGAUGGGUAGAGUUGGCAAUAUUUAUCCCAGCUAAUUUCAUAUUGAUCUAUCUGGUAAAUACAGUAGAUCUUCUUUUGAAGUGCUAUUAUAGUAUAUAUGGAUUUUUUGAUUUAGAUUUGGCGAUAAAUACUUCUCCUGUGGAAUUUGCUUGACAUCACUAAACUUGUUUUAUGUACAACAUGUGGUCUAAGUAAUCACGAAGGUCAAGAGGAUACCUUGCUGCCCUCUUGAUGUGAGAUCCUUGCUGUUUGGUGAGCGGCUAAAAUGUACUUUUACAAUGGCCUGGAGUUAGUGAGCAACACUUAUAUCAAGGGAUUUUUUUAAGGAGAAUUUGAAUUAUCCAUAGAUUUUGGACCUUGUUAUCAUUUGUAUACAUGGGUGACAAAUCCAGAGUGCUAAACUUGAUAAGUUAUUCCCUUACUUAAAAGCAAGUUCCCAGAUGUAAGUGUGCCAGAUGGAUGAAAGUUUUUCUUGAAAAUGAGUUGUUGUUUUUUUUCUGGAGACUCUGUUCCCCUAUCACUAUGUCUUGGUUGGACAUCCUUAUUGUCAUUAGCUUGUGUGGAAUUUUAUAAACUGUCUGGAUUCCCUACCUCUGUGUGCCCUUUUUUUCCAAAGCAUGUUUAUAUUUGGGGAGAGAGUUUAAGGUUAUAACUGACCACUCUUGAUGUCACUGCUGGGGACCUACCAUUUUCACUGAACUAUGUGACUUAACUGUGUGUUUUCAGAUUGCUAUGAAAAUUAAAAGAGUCUGUGGCUUUUCAAAACAUAGCAGUACUUGAGGAGGAGGCCUGGGGGACCAUGAUGAGAAGAAUAAUGCAGUAAAUGAAUAUAAUGCCUUUGUGCACUGGUAGUUGUAUUUAAGGACAUUUGCUAAGCUGUAAUCUCCAGGUGGCCAGGACUCCUAGUGUUCUUUCUAUUUUCCAGUUGCCUUUGUUAUCUGGUUUGUUCAAUCCUAUAGCAAACAAACAAUGAAUCCACCUGUGUGAAACUGAGCUGGUGGCCUGAGCUUUCUUUUCUUGUUAUGCUUAUGUAUUUUAUAAAAUGUCCCACCCAGGCCUCUAUUAAUGUUUCAUCUCAGUCCACAUUUACUCUAGCAUUAAUGCCAUUUCCGCAUGUGACAGCCACCAAGACAUUUGUUGGUUGAGGAUGUAGUUCUCCUGCAUGUGUGAAAUACUCCAUGGUAUAAACUAAAGGUGGUAGGUAGCACAUAGCUAUGAUUCUAGCACUCAGGGGGUAGAGGUGAAAGGAGCAAAAACUAAGGAUAUCCUUGGCUACAAAUGACUACAAGCAAGUUUGAGGCUACCCUGGACCCGCUGAGACACUGUUUCCAUUUUUAUUGAAAUGAUAUUUGCUUUAAGUUUUACAGAACUCUCCCAUUGCUUUCUCUCUGCAACCUGAAUGACUGGUUUGUACUAGUAAACAACGUAUUGGAAUUUCUGACUUUUCUCUCCUGUAUGGUUGAGCAGGAACGCCAGAAGUAGGUCAGGGCUAGAUAGAGCACAAUGGUUGCUUAUGUCUCCAGGAGGCUUUGCUACAGUCCUCAGAAUUCAGACAGCCCUGAGUUCUCUUUUGCAAAUGAUGUUGCUUUGGAAAACAGAGGGUGCAGAGGACAAGGAAAGACUUGUCUGCAAUUUGAGGGGUUCUUAAUUUGAUGAAGACAUUGUCCAUAGGGUGCAGUUUAGAAGCAAGGAUGGCAUCUUCAUUACCCCUUCAGUGGAUCAUUUGGUUGGGAUUCAUGUGGGUUUCAGGAGUGACCUGGCUCCCAAGUCCACCUACACCACCACAGAUAGUGGCUAUUGUUUGAGCUCUGGAUUUAUAAUUUUAAACUAAUUUGUGUUUUAAAUCCAUAUAUACCACUUUGCCAUUGAUAAGAUGAACUUUACACAGCUCAGUUUUGACACCAGUGAGAAUGUAUUAAUGUUUUCUUUUUCCAUUUGACUCAGGGAACAUCCUCCCUGUUAUAGCUGUGAGGUGUCUCAUUGUUUUAUGUACUGGGUCCUAGUGUGAGUGUGUAUGUGUUCAUGUAAAAGCCAGCAAACAGCCGUGGCUGCCCUCCCUCCAGUAUCAUGUGUCUUGCUUUCUUAUCACAGGCUUGAUGCUUAUCAAGUAGGCUAGGCUGGCUGGCCAGCAACUCCUGGAGGUCUUGUCUUUGCCGCAGAAGCAUCAGGAUUACAAAUCGGAGACAACAUUCUGUUUUUUGAAUCUGGAUUUGAGGGAUCAAACUAGGGUCAUCAUGCUUGCAAAGCCUAAUAAUUGGACCUCCUUUUUUAAAGUCAGCAUCUCAGCUUGUAGCUCAAGCUGGCCCCAAGUUUAUUUUGGACACCAGGUUAGCCUUGAACAUUUGUUAGUCUCAUUGCCUCUGCCUCAGCACUGCUGGAACUUACAGGUCUGGGUCACCAUACCCUGAUCUCAAUUUUGACAAAUCAAUCUUAUGGGUGGACAUUUUUCUCUAAUGUCCAAUGACACUCAUUGCCCCUCAACUCUCUAUUAUGGCUGGAGAAAUUCAACAUAUUUCUGUUGUAUCCCAUCUCUUCCUUACUUCCCUGCUCUUUCGCUCCUCUUCCCCCCACCUCUCCCCUUCUUCCUGUUCUUUCCUCUUCCUCCUCCCCACUUCUCCCUACUUCUCUUUCCUCUCCUCCUCCCCCUUCCUCUUCUAUCUCCUCCUCUUCCCCCUUUCUUCUCCUCUCUCCUUCUCCCUCUUUCUGUCUCUCUUUCUUCCUCAUCUUCUUCCUCCUUCCUCACUCUCCUUCCUUUUUUGUCAUUAUAUAGAAUCAAUCCACUCUCCACUUUUUUUCUUUUAUAAACAUUGUACUUUCUAGGCCUCUGGGUCAGUUUCACUCUAACCCUCUCAGAUACAAGAAAACCUAGUAGUCUCGGCCUUUAUUUCGAGGGGCUGCAAAUUAUCAUCGAAAAGGAGAUAUCGGUUACGGAAUACACUAAGACUUACCUUCUCCACUGGAUCCUGGGAAGUCCAUAAGAUCCUGGGAAGUGUGUGCCACACUGAAUUUGUAACAUAGUAUUUCUCAGCCUGUGGAAUGCUCAGCCUGUGGGAUACAAUUUUCAGAGAACUGAACACCAAGUCUUUCAGAAAGGGUGAAUCAUUUAGAGAAAAAGUUAUUCCUUUUCCAAGUCUCUCUCAAUCCUUUUUAUGUCGAUGAGGAAGUCCUAGUUUAAACUAAAAGAGAUUUAACAAGGCCGCAACACUUUCUAAGCUUUCUUUAUAGCAGAGUGGGGCAUGUGCCUCAGGCUUAAAGCCUGCAGCAGCCUGAGCAUCUAUGCAGACUUCAAAAGCGUUGUUUGCAAAAUGUAGCAGUCAAGAAUUAGGGGCCUAGAGCUAGACCCAGUGCUCUAAUUAUAAACCUUGAAUGGUUUGUGAAUUUAUGACACUGUGCAUAGUUUUUGAAUAUGCUGUACUUGCAGUUCCUUGUGUGACCCAUUGGAGACAAUAAUUGUUCAUAUUUUAUAAGCCUUAUCUAUGAAUGUGUGUGCAUGAAUACAUGCACAGGUUUGCUUAUGUCUAAAUUUCUUCCCUCUUGUAUCUGACUGAGUACUUGACAGGAAGGAAUGUAAGGUAGGAUUUAUUUUGGCUGAUGAUGAUGAGACACAUCCCUGGUGACAGGCAAAGCAUGGUAGCAGAGUCUGCUGUGUGAUCUGCUAUUACAUUCAGGUGUAUCAGAAAGCGGAGAGUUCUCCAGCUGGGAGUGGAGCUGGCCUAGAGAUCCCCAUAGACUUUAUUUGCAGUUACUGAUAUUGGGUUUCUGUUUGCAGUGGCAACGCCAGGUUUCCUUGGCAAAUGCAGCCAUUGAGCUUAAGAAUGGGUUGCUUUCAAUACAAACACGAGCUGCACAUCGUUACCUACGGCCCAGAGUUAUGACAAAACCGGUGGUGGUUGAAUGCAAAUGGCUGAAGUUUGAGAAACAGGGAAAUCAGAGUGCCAGCCUUGUGAAAGAUGUCAUACAACCUACCUACAGUAUCAAUAUUUAAUUUGCCAGUUAGAAGCCAGUCUCUCAUUUCUGCAAGAUACAAGAGUGAUGUGGCUUGCAGAAAUGCAAAUUGCUAAUGAUCUUCUUGGCUUAAAUCCAUUGCCUUCAUCCAGGCAUCAGAGAAUGAAUCUUGCAGCCUGCCUGGAAUUGAGCUAUCAGGAGGGAAGGCUUUCACCCCACCCCUCCCUCUUUCACCAUCCACGCAUGCCUCCCUUAUUCUUAGGGGAGCAGAGCAGGAACUAUAAAACCCCAUGACUCCUUCCAAAUCUAUAUUUUCUUGACUGUAGUUUCUAAGUAGCUCAUUGUCGGAAAGCCUGCCUCCAUCCAGUUAUUUAUUCAGGAAAUAUUUUUGAGUGUGAACCAGAUGCCAGUCACUGUCUGCGCAACAGAGAUGUAAUGCUGUAAUAAAACCGAUACAUUUCUCAAAGUCUGAUACCUUGCAGGCGAGCGAGAAAAGGCACACAUUUGUCAAAUAACUCCCUCCAACAUACCUAUGAAACUGGCAAGUAUCAUAUAAGCCCAUGCUACACAGAGAGGGACAGGUGGGGGAAUCUUAUGGUACUGACCUCCACUUAUCAAACUUGGUAGAUUAAUGUGUAGUAUAGUGGCCAGUACCUUUAGGAGACAUGUUAGUGGGGCACAAUGUCCCAGGCUGUGACUGCUGUGUAUGAGUUUACCUUUCUCCUCACCCGCUGUGGUGUCUGCUUGCCAACAGUCAGUUGUAUGUGUUCCCAGGGCUGCCUCUGCCAGCUGCGCUUGUUAUUGUAAUUACAUUAUUUAGUGCAAUAUUAUGU